CAAGGAGUUUUCCGCAAUGGGCGAAAGCCUGACGGAGCAACGCCGCGUGUGGGAUGACGCCCCUCGGGGUGUAAACCACUUUUCUUGGGGACGAAGCAGUGACGGUACCCGAGGAAGAAGGCCCGGCUAACUACGUGCCAGCAGCCGCGGUAAUACGUAGGGGCCGAGCGUUGUCCGGAGUUACUGGGCGUAAAGCGCGCGCAGGCGGCUCGUCAAGCCUGACGUGAAAGCCCCCGGCGUCAACCGGGAGGGUCGUCGGGGACUGGCGGGCUUGAGGUCGGCAGGGGUUGGUGGAAUUCCCGGUGUAGUGGUGAAAUGCGUAGAGAUCGGGAGGAACACCCGUGGCGAAGGCGGCCAACUGGGCCGGACCUGACGCUGAGGCGCGAAGGCGUGGGGGAGCGAACGGGAUUAGAUACCCUAGUAG
rnacentral:rRNA from 1 species